ensembl:lncRNA
CCCCUGCCCUCCGCCUAGACUCAACACUAACCCCUGCUCUCCACCUAGACCCGACACUAUCCCCUGCCCUCCACCUAGACCCAACACUAACCCCUGCCCUCCGCCUGGACCCAACACUAACCCCUGCCCUCCGCCUGGACCCAACACUAACCCCUGCCCUCCGCCUAGACCCAACACUAACCCCUGCCCUCCACCUAGACCCAACACUAACCCCUGCCCUCCGCCUGGACCCAACACUAACCCCUGUCCUUACUCCAGUUAUACCCAGACCUGUGGAUUAAUCCUUCAGAGAAAGUAUAUCUUGACAUGACCAGAUCAAUAAACAUGUCUGAAGAUGGACAUUCAUCUGUCUUUUAUUUUCCUUAAUAUUUUUUUGUAAAUCUGACACAUUUAUAUAUCAGAUUAUAUGUGAACUCAUGAUGUCGAGGUCAGCGUGACCCCAGGUCCCGUGUCAGGUAGUGGUCAGUUUAACCCCAGGUCCCUUGUCAGGUAGAGGUCAGUGUGACCCCAGGUCCCUUGUCAGGUAGAGGUCAGUUUAACCCCAGGUCCCUUGUCAGGUAGAGGUCAGUUUAACCCCAGGUCCCGUGUCAGGUAGAGUUCAGUGUGAACCCAGGUCUUAUUUGAUUUACAGAUCUGGUUGACCCCAGGUCCUGUAUAAGUUAGAGAUCCUGUUGACCCCAGGUCCUGUAUAAGUUAGAGAUCCGGUUGACCCCAGGUCCUGUAUAAGUUAGAGAUCUGGUUGACCCCAGGUCCUGUAUAAGUUAGAGAUCUGGUUGACCCCAGGUCCUGUAUAAAUUAGAGAUCCGGUUGACCCCAGGUCCUGUAUAAGUUAGAGAUCCGGUUGACCCCAGGUCCUGUAUAAGUUAGAGAUCUGGUUGACCCCAGGUCCUGGUUGAAGAAGAAAUGAUGGGCUGAUGGUUAGUCCACUGGAUGAUGAAAUAUUGUAGAACAGCUGCUUCUGUUAGUUGCUGGCUCACUCCGUCCCAUAUCACAUUCAGGCCACGACUUCCUCUAAACAUACAGACAGAAACAGGAAGUUGGUUUACAAAAGUAUCAUGACCUUUGUAUGGCAAGGAGAUACACUUCCACUACAGCACAGCUACUUCCACUAUCAGAAAAUGUGAAGUAGACCAAAGCAAAGCACGGCACUUUCUGUCUUAUCAAGAUUAGAGAUGGAAAAUGAGGGUCGUAGUUAACACUGGUAUUGGCUGGAAUAUUCAACAAGAUAUGCUGAUAAAGUUACCUGUGUGUGUGUGUGUGUGUGUGUGUGUGUG